GAUGAACGCUGGCGGCGUGCCUAAUACAUGCAAGUCGAGCGAACUGACGAGAAGCUUGCUUCUCUUAUGUUAGCGGCGCACGGGUGAGUAACACGUGGAUAACCUACCUAUAAUACUGCGAUAACUUCGGGAAACCUUAGCUAAUACCGUAUAAUAUUUUGAACCCCAUGGUUCAAAAGUUAAAUACGGUCUUGAUGUCACUUAUAGAUGUAUCCGCGCUGCAUUAGCUAGUUGGUAAGGUAACGGCUUACCAAGGCUACGAUGCAUAGCCGACCUGAUAGAGUGAUCGGCCCCACGAGAAGUGAGACAGGGUCCAGAGUCCUAAGGGAGGCAGCAGUAGGGAAUCGUCGGCAGUAGGCGGAAGACUGACGGAGCGGCGCCGCGUGAGUGAUGAAGGUCUUCGGAGCGUAAAACUCUGUUAUUAGGGAAGAACAUAUGUGUAAGUAAAUGUACACAUCUUGACGGUAAUUAAUAAGAAAGCCACGGCUAACUACGUG
rnacentral:rRNA from 1 species